GGCUUGGUUAUAACUGAUCUGAUGCUGUUAGAUUGAUACUUAUGUAAUUGGAAUGAUUUCUUUGUACGUGAUUUCACUACAAAAGAGAAUAGUGUUGGUCCUUUGAUUUGGAGGAGAGUGAUGUGGGAAGGGUUUGUAUUACCGAUUACUGGAGAACUUGGACGCUCUCAAAUCUCAGUGGACUAUUUCCUAUUUAUCUAAUG
rnacentral:misc_RNA from 1 species